rnacentral:rRNA from 1 species
UACGAAGGGGGCUAGCGUUGCUCGGAAUCACUGGGCGUAAAGCGCACGUAGGCGGAUUGCUAAGUCAGGGGUGAAAUCCUGGAGCUCAACUCCAGAACUGCCUUUGAUACUGGAAAGCUUGAGUUCGGGAGAGGUGAGUGGAACUGCGAGUGUAGAGGUGAAAUUCGUAGAUAUUCGCAAGAACACCAGUGGCGAAGGCGGUCUGCUGGGCAGUUUCUGACACUGAGGCGCGACAGCGUGGGGAGCAAACAGG